ensembl:snoRNA
CACAGGUGAUGAACUCAUUGACGGGCGGACAGAGACGCUGUGCUGAUCGUCAUGUUCUGAUUUG